AGGGUGUAAACGCUGCAGACUUGGUGUUGGAAGCCCUUUGGGGGCAUUCAGUGCCGGAGAGAAGUUGUUAAGUCUGCUACUUGGGGAGUACGUCCGCAAGGAUGAAACUUAAAGGAAUUGGCGGGGGGAGCACCGCAACGGGAGGAGCGUGCGGUUUAAUUGGAUUCAACACCGUAAACUCACCAGCAGCGACUGUUACAUGAAAGUCAGGUUGAUGACCUUACUAGAUUUUCAGAGAGGUGGUGCAUGGCGUCAGUGACU
rnacentral:rRNA from 1 species